UGUCUCCCCCGGUCCCCCAGGUUUGGGUUGUGGCGCCGCAGCGGGUUCUGUGAGCCCAGGCGUCGGCGAUCUCCCGGAUCCGAGAUCGGGUGGCCCCCUCGUGUGCUAGCAGUGGUUCCGGGGUGCCGCCUCGGGAUGGGGGAAGCAUAGCGUUUCUUCGAAGCUCCCCCAGCCCGGCGAAGCUGCCGGCUUUCUGCGUCGCCGCCGCUGUGACUCACCUCCUUCCUCCCCGCAGAGACCUGGGUGGCCUCAGCCCUUAGCUGUGGGCCCUCGACCCCAUCCCGCAUCUCCCUCUCAAGGUGUGUUCUCCAGGAGCUGUCCGGGCACCAUCUUCGCGUCUGAUUCCGGGACGUUUGCUUGUAAAUAGCAAUUUUUGAAACCACUUGUGGGCUGCUGCAGCUGUGAGGUUCUGGGACUUCUGACAAGUUGGCAUAAGUUAUCAGUUCUUAUGAUGUUAAUCUGCUGGGUCUUCGCCUGAAGGUAUAACUGAAUCAAGAGUGCAGGACGUGAGCCGGCAGGGCUGUGCCGGGAUGAAGAAGAAUGAUAAGCCUCGCCCCUGGAGGAACUGUUGAGCUUGCUGCCUGGAAGCCACCGCACACAUCCAGGCCUGCCACACACAGGUUGUGCUGCUGAGCUGGCAUAGAGAGUUUCAGAUAUUUAUUAAUGAUUUCAUGUAUUUAGAGGGGAACGAUUUCCUGGAUAACUGGAAAGUUGUGCAGGUGGCUUCUGGAAGACCUUCAUUUUAAGCAGCUUUAUGGUGAAACGUUUCAUUUAGAAGUCUGGACCUUCUUCAGUUUGCUGCAAUCUCCGUUCACUGAGUAGAACUGGUAUUGAUUCUUGGGACCCAGUUUGUUCCAGGGUUCUGGAUUGAACAAAUUCCAGGCACAAGACGUAGAACGCUGCCAGUACCUCUGGCCCCACGACAUACGAAGGGGGCACCCAGCUUGGCUGCUUCUUGGAACGUCUCAGAAGAUCUGGCAGAACGUGGUGGCGGCAGAAGCCUAGAGUCUGGAAGGAGAGAACAGAUCUGCAAGGAAGAGAUUCUGCUAAGAGAACAGAUCUUCAGCCUUCUCUCUACACACAGAAAAGGUAACUGUGAGUUGAGGGAUGUGUUAGAAUUACCUUAAUUGUGGUCAUUUCACAAUGUGUACGUAUAUCGAAUUGGAUUGUGCACUUUAAGUGUAUACAACUUUAUUUGUCAAUUAAAAAUAAAGCUGGGAAAAAAUUACAAAUAAACUGUCAAGUAGAUCCAUUGAUGGAUGGUUCUGUUGAGUUCAGCUAUCCUUACUGAUUUUCUGCCUACUGGAUCUGUCAGUUACUAAUAGAGGGAGUGUCAAAAUCCCUCACAUUAAUAGUGGGUUAUCUAUUUCUCUGUGCAUUUUUAUCAGUUCUUGCCUCUUGUAUUGUGACGCUUCGUUGUAAAGUGCAUAUAUUUCAAAGAUCAUUGUGUCUUCUCAGAGAAUUGACCCCCCCCUUAUUAUGUAAUACCCUCUUUAUUCCUGGGAAGUUUCCUUGUUCAAAUGCCUUUUUUGUCUGAAAUUAAUCUCACUACUCCAGCUUUCGUUUGAUUAGUGUCCGCGGUACCCCCCUCCCCUCUCUUUUACUCUUAAUAUAUGUGUGUUUUUAUAUUCAAAUGGGGUUUCUUGUAGACAACAUAUAGUCUGGUCUUGUUUAUCAUCCACCCUUACAGUCUCUUCUCUUAAUUGGCGUAUUUAGACCACUCCCAUUUAAAGUGAUUGUUGAUAUAGUUGGAUUUGUACCUACCAUGUUUGUCAAAAUUUUGUAUUUG